AUGGGACUGGAAUUGGGCUGUAUCAGUUUUCUGUAUGUUCCUGACAUUUUACUUAUUGGCAUAUAAUAGGAAGCUAGUCUUUAAAAGUUUGGACUCGCUUCCUGAAUAUAUUUAUUUGCACUCAACUCAACCAUAUUUAUUUGAAGCUAAUAAAAAGGAAACAUAUUAGAAACUUAUUGCCAUACUCUUGGUUAUGUGAAAACAUGUAGAUUUCCUAUUUCCUGCAUGAGAAUAUUUGCAGAUUUUACCCGUAAAGCACUAAGAGCUUGUUCUUCGCCCCAACAAAAUGUACACUACCACUUUUGGUGCUGCUUUUCAAUAAAAAUUUGGUUAAAUUUUUUUAUGGAACUUAAUGUCAACAAUAGAGUUAGAUUGACCACCUGGUUGGCACUUCCAAACUACUCGACGAGUUUGCUAGGGUUCAGAAAGGGGUCUACCAGAGCUCAUGAGGCAAUCUCUGAAAAUCCCUCUGAUAAGCCCAAACCUCCUAUUGAACAGCCAUGAAAGUCGAGCUUGGUAACAAGUUGGUUAGGGGAUGAUAUCAUUACUCUAUCUCUAUGGAUUUAGGGUGAUGACUGAAUGAUGAUAGUCCAUUCUUUCACAAUAGUACCCUCCUCCAUGCUGUUUGACUGUAUCAUUCGCCAUUUUGACCAUGAUUGGAUCACUCGACUAGAUAGUUAGAAAACCUGUCAAGACCUCUUUGCAGAUUCCGUGCCUGGGUUCCUCAAUUGCUUGUGUGACUGAUGAUUUAUUUUCAUCUUUGAACCAAACAGGUUUUCCUUAAAAAUUGGAUUUCCAUUCUUUUUUUGUCAUUCUGAUUUAUCAAUAUUUAAUCUAUAUUAGACUUAUGUAGAAUUUAUCUCAUUUUUCAUUUUUCUUGCAAGUGGCCAGUAGAUUGCUCUUUUUUUAUUUUCUUUUUUUCCUUGCAGUCUUAUAAGAAAACUGAAUAUAAGUUUUUCAUUUGCUAAAGGGUAGUUCUAACCUUUCCUUUUCCUUAAAUUUACUCACCCGAUGAAGAAAAUAAAGAGGAUAUUUGCGAAAUUUCUAUUUUAAUUUGUUUCAUGAACCAAUCAUUUUUAUUUUGGAUGUAGCUUUCAUGGUUUCAUUAUGAUUAUUACAUGCUUCCUAUUCCAAUGAAACUAAUUUUCCAUAUUUAUUCUUUGUCAGGUGACAGAAUCUGAAGUUGUAAUGCAUAAUCGUAUACCUGUUGGAUAUGCUUCAUGCCCCACAGAAACAAUGAGUAUCAUUAGACUUUUAGAGUGUUGGUUGUGUUUUAGUUGAGUAAAGCUAUAACUCAAAGUUAAUUCAUUAAAUGCUUAUCCAUUUUAUUAGGACAUUUGAUUGUUCACCUAAGUAAACAUAUCUGCCUGAGCACGCUUGCAAUUCAACUUUGCCCUCAGAUUUCAUCAGUUUGUUUUUUUUUUUAUGUCCGUUUCUCAUUUGGAUAUCUUUGUGUUUAUUGUUCCUUUAAAAUACUAUGGAAACACGAACGGCCUAUAAUUCUUCCAAUAUAAAAUAGGUCUUUGAUUUUUCCAGGUUAAUUACAUGUCAACUCAUGAUGAUAAAACUUAGUAGUUUAAUCAGUCUGUUACAAGUAGGACAUCAGUCCUAGUAAGACUAGAAACAGAGAAACAUAAUAGACUGCUGACUAAAUAAUCAGUCCUAGACUCUUCUAUUUGAACUACGACUUUCAUCGUUAGACAAGGAAAACACCAAGGGAGGAACUUGCACAAUCCACAAGACUCGUCCUUCCUUCUCUUCUCCUGACAGUCUUCUAGCAACUCUAACAGAAUAUCUAGCUAUACUUUUUAUCUUUGUCUUGUAUGAAGUUCUAACUAAUAAGAUUCUUACCAACCUUAUUGAUUUAUUCAAAAGCCAAUGAAAAUUUAUGUGGAGGAUAGUUGUAGGAUAAAUAAUUUGGCGAUUAGUAUUGUCGCAUUUUCACAGGUUCCAUUUUCCUUGCAUUAAGAAGUGGUGUGGUCUUACAUUUGUUAUAUAAUAUCAUUAUACUUUAACAUGACAAUCUCACUCUUUUUAUUUUUUUGGUGAAUCGUUUGUUGAGCUGUCCUAGGUUCAAGUUUCUAAAUCUCGGAUCAGUUUUGAGAUCGAUCAACACCAAUACCAAUUGGGCUAGGAUUGGAGUAUUAGACAGAUUUACCUGUGAUUUUAAAUAAAUUAUAUUACAUUUUACUAUGGGGCAGUACCUGUGUAUCAGGAUCCAAUUGGUUAGGACUUAGGAUCGAGGAUCGAUCAACGCCUAAACCGAUCGGUCAAGGAAAAAAUCGACCCGAUCCAGCCAAUAUUGACCUAUCCAAUCCGAGUUUAGAACCAUACCUUAUAGUAGGUUUAAGGUUUUGUUAACCUCAUUGAAACGACCUUGUAGGUCACUAACUGUCCUAUCUAAAUACAUUACAUAGAAUUGUGGCUGUCGGGAAACUCAUAAAAUAGGGGGAAUUAAAAGGGGAAAAAUUAUUUCUUUUAGAUGUGAUUUGAUUGAGACUCAGAAUCUGUGAGGUUAACAUAUUCGUGUAGUGAAAUGUUAUUGUUUUGUUCAGCUUGACACAUCAGUUGAUGUGACGUGGGUUAUGAAACAAAUUUUGGUUGAACAUCAGUUAAUGUUCAGCUUGACACAUCCAUUGAUGUGACAUGUAUUGUUUUGAUUAAGUUGAAAACAUUUUUAAUAUUGAAAAGUGGUUACCCAUUGUCUGUUCUUGUACUGAUGAAUUAGUUAUAAUCCUUGGGUUAUGGUUAUCCAUCCAUGCCUUAUGUGGUGAUUCCUGAGAUUUCGAAGAAAGCUGAUAGAUCUUAUUAGUGGGUGGGACAUCUGCUACAUUCAGCUCUUGUGGAUGACCUUGUAAGUUUAUUACUCUUGGCUAUCUACAAUAGACUUUGGAGAGAAAAGAGGGCACCCAUGUUUAAGAAUGAAUUGUUAAGUAUGAAUUAUGGUGUUUCAAAUUGUUCUUGCUUUAUUAAAAUUUGACUGCUUUCAUGGGGUUUUAAGGGGGUGGGGUGUUUCUUUUUUCUGUUUCAAUUGGAAUUUCAUGUAGUGGAAGCUGCUACCUGUUUGUUUAGGCUGUGGGUGCUUUUGUAGUAGCCUCCAAUUUUGGUGGUUGUAAUUGCUAAUUGUUGUUGGUCAUUGUUUUAUUUUGUUCCCUUAAAAUGUUACAAAUUCGUUUUGUUGGGCUUCAGGCUUCUAGAUUUCUACCAUUAACCAUACAUCUUGGUUCUUUGCUGAUUGUGUUGGACUAGGAAUCAGAGUUUUGUAAUGUGGUUUAAUUACUGAGGGAGGGGAGUGGAAGAGCCUUUGUAGUGUGUUUCUUUUGUAUUUGUGCAAGUGUAUACAAAAUCUUUUUUUUUUUUUUUUGCUCCUUGCUGGCAGGUAUAAAAGUUGUUAUGGUAUCAUGUAAUGGGAUACUUAAAUAGCAACAAUAUAUUGGUUCUAUUUGCAGAGGAACUGAUGUGCUUUGACAUGAUAUGUUUCAGUACGAAAUAAUGCCCAUCAAUACAACUUUUGUCUUAUUUGUGUCAAGGUUCUUUAAGUGAUCCUUUCAACCAUGGCUGAAGUAGAUGCGAAGGAAUACACGAACAUAUGAUAGUAUCUUUAUUAUUUUUUUUUUUGCUAAGGUCAAUUAUCAAGGCCUUUGGCCUAACUACUCCCGUGGGGCCAUACUGACCCCACAACUGUAUGGAGGGGUCAUGCCAGGGUUGAUUGAGAACCAUUCAACUUUCACUGAGAGCAAUGAAGCGCACUAAACACCCCCGUGUGAAUGGCCCCAUGGAGGUAAGAAGAAUCGAGACUCAAAACCACACGCUUCCUGAGGUGAAGGUCCCUUGCCAACUCAGCUACCCCCUUGGGUUUGAGAGCAUAUGGUAGUAUUUGCAACUAAGACAAUGGGAAUGUUUGAAUGGUUAGAAGAACAUUGGGAGAUGCAUAGAUAAUUCCAGACAUUAACAUAUCGCUUGCAAUUCACAUUGUGAAUAUUCUAUGGUAGCAUUGGGUUUUAUAGCACUGUGUACUUGGUCCCAAUCCCAAUUGAGGAUUAUCUGACUUAGCAGCUAACAUAAAUUUUUAUACCGUCUUGUUAUAUCAUCUGUUUAUCAAAUCAUUUUUUCAUCUUGUAAAUAUCCUUCUCAAAAACUUGAGCGAUUGGGUGGAGGGACUCACAGGUAUAUGAGGGGACAAUAGGCCUCAAGGGUAACCGAUGUGGGACCAUUCUCCCAACAGUUGAGGAGAGGAAAGAAAUCAACAGAAUCAAUCUGGUGAUGACAACGGAUUCCAAUUUGACCUUCUUGAUAAGAAGGUUUGCCUCAAAUGUUACAGUUUGAAAAAUGCACUUUGCUCCUGCCAUUUUGUCCCUUGCAGUUCCGUAAGAACACACAAAUUUGCUUAGUGUUUCUAGGUUGUAGAACUUAUAGUGCUGAUACUUUUCUUGUUUGCACUGCUAAUCUUUCUUAUGCUUAAAUGUUGUCUUGAAAAUUUUAAGGUGUCUCUUUCACGUUUAAUUCAUAUAGGAUGGAUAUAUUAUCAUACUAGUUCUCACUCUUCAUACUA